rnacentral:rRNA from 1 species
GACAGAGGUGCCGAGCGUUAGGCGGAAUCACUGGGCUUAAAGCGUGUGUAGGCGGAUCGUUAAGUACCUUGUGAAAUCCCACGGCUCAACCGUGGAACUGCUGGGUAUACUGGCGGUCUUGAGCCACCUAGGGGCGAGCGGAACAAGCGGUGGAGCGGUGAAAUGCGUAGAGAUCCGGAGGAACACCAGUGGCGAAGGCGACACGCUGGGCCGUACCUGACGCUAAAGCGCGACAGCAUGGGGAGCGAACGGG